GUAACAAACACUGAAAGAUUCAUUUGGUUCGAUUGGUGUUUCUGUUUUAAGGGCACAAUGUGUUAAACAUUAGAAGUUUUAACUCGUAGCAUGAAAGCUGAAAAAUAGAUUUUUGCUUCAACGAAUGCUAAUCUUUAACAAGUAAACGUUAAAGCGCUGUCAUUGCACUGUGUUAACUCUGUUGCGGAAGAAUCAACUUUUUUUAACUUUGGAUGUGCUUUAAAACUAGGCUAUUUUUAUAGCCACAAAUAUGUUAAAAAGAUUACUAAGCAAAUGGAAAUACAUUUAUUUAGUUUUUAUUUUUUAUUUACGAAAUAUAUUUUAA